rnacentral:snoRNA from 1 species
ACUGUUACAUUAUUAUUAUUUUUUGAGUAGGAGUCUUACUCUGUUGCCCAGGCUAGAGUGCAGUGGCACAAU